UAGGGAAUCUUCGGCAAUGGACGAAAGUCUGACCGAGCAACGCCGCGUGAGUGAAGAAGGUUUUCGGAUCGUAAAACUCUGUUGUUAGAGAAGAACAAGGACGUUAGUAACUGAACGUCCCCUGACGGUAUCUAACCAGAAAGCCACGGCUAACUACGUGCCAGCAGCCGCGGUAAUACGUAGGUGGCAAGCGUUGUCCGGAUUUAUUGGGCGUAAAGCGAGCGCAGGCGGUUUCUUAAGUCUGAUGUGAAAGCCCCCGGCUCAACCGGGGAGGGUCAUUGGAAACUGGGAGAGUUGAGUGCAGAAGAGGAGAGUGGAAUUCCAUGUGUAGCGGUGAAAUGCGUAGAUAUAUGGAGGAACACCAGUGGCGAAGGCGGCUCUCUGGUCUGUAACUGACGCUGAGGCUCGAAGGCGUGGGGAGCAAACAGG
rnacentral:rRNA from 1 species